GCCUUCGUGGUGUAGUGGUCAGCACACUCGGUGCGUAUUGGAGAGGACCGUGGUUCGAGCCCCGGCGAAGGUG
rnacentral:tRNA from 1 species